GACGAACGCUGGCGGCGUGCCUAAUACAUGCAAGUAGAACGCUGAAGCUUGGUGCUUGCACCGAGCGGAUGAGUUGCGAACGGGUGAGUAACGCGUAGGUAACCUGCCUGGUAGCGGGGGAUAACUAUUGGAAACGAUAGCUAAUACCGCAUAAUAGUAGAUGUUGCAUGACAUUUGCUUAAAAGGUGCAAUUGCAUCACUACCAGAUGGACCUGCGUUGUAUUAGCUAGUUGGUGAGGAACGGCUCACCAAGGCAACGAUACAUAGCCGACCUGAGAGGGUGAUCGGCCACACUGGGACUGAGACACGGCCCAGACUCCUACGGGAGGCAGCAGUAGGGAAUCUUCGGCAAUGGACGGAAGUCUGACCGAGCAACGCCGCGUGAGUGAAGAAGGUUGUCGGAUCGUAAAGCUCUGUUGUAAGAGAAGAACGAGUGUGAGAGUGGAAAGUUCACACUGUGACGGUAUCUUACCAGAAAGGGACGGCUAACUACGUG
rnacentral:rRNA from 1 species